AGGAGGAACAACCCCAGUGGCGGGGCCAGCUCUGGAGCCCUGGAGUCAGCUCCCGCAGUAACUCCGGAGCUCUCCGUCUGCAGGGCCUGGAGGCUCCGGGGCGGG
rnacentral:pre_miRNA from 1 species